UACGUAGGGUGCAAGCGUUAAUCGGAAUUACUGGGCGUAAAGCGUGCGCAGGCGGUUUCGUAAGUCUGUCGUGAAAGCCCCGGGCUCAACCUGGGAAUUGCGAUGGAGACUGCGAGGCUAGAGUGUGUCAGAGGGGGGGUAGAAUUCCACGUGUAGCAGUGAAAUGCGUAGAUAUGUGGAGGAACACCGAUGGCGAAGGCAGCCCCCCUGGGAUAACACUGACGCUCAUGCACGAAAGCGUGGGGGAGCAAACAGG
rnacentral:rRNA from 1 species